rnacentral:misc_RNA from 1 species
AACUAACGCUAUUAUUGUUACAGUUUCUGUACUUUAUUGGUAUGAGAAGCUUCCAGUCUAUCUGGUAAAUUUUGGAAAAAGCCUUCGGG